rnacentral:rRNA from 1 species
AACGAACGCUGGCGGCAUGCCUAACACAUGCAAGUCGAACGAGACCUUCGGGCCUAGUGGCGCACGGGUGCGUAACGCGUGGGAACCUGCCCUUAGGUUCGGAAUAACUCCCCGAAAGGGGUGCUAAUACCGGAUAAUGUCUUCGGACCAAAGAUUUUUCGCCUUUGGAUGGGCCCGCGUUGGAUUAGUUAGUUGGUAGGGUAAAAGCCUACCAAGGCGACGAUCCAUAGCUGGUCUGCGAGGAUGACCAGCCACACUGGGACUGAGACACGGCCCAGACUCCUACGGGAGGCAGCAGUGGGGAAUAUUGGACGAUGGGCGAAAGCCUGAUCCAGCAAUGCCGCGUGAGUGAUGAAGGCCUUAGGGUUGUAAAGCUCUUUUACCCGGGAUGAUAAUGACAGUACCGGGAGAAUAAGCUCCGGCUAACUCCGUG